rnacentral:rRNA from 1 species
GAUGAACGCUGGCGGCGUGCCUAAUACAUGCAAGUCGAGCGAACAGACGAGGAGCUUGCUCCUCUGACGUUAGCGGCGGACGGGUGAGUAACACGUGGAUAACCUACCUAUAAGACUGGGAUAACUUCGGGAAACCGGAGCUAAUACCGGAUAAUAUAUUGAACCGCAUGGUUCAAUAGUGAAAGACGGUUUUGCUGUCACUUAUAGAUGGAUCCGCGCCGCAUUAGCUAGUUGGUAAGGUAACGGCUUACCAAGGCAACGAUGCGUAGCCGACCUGAGAGGGUGAUCGGCCACACUGGAACUGAGACACGGUCCAGACUCCGACGGGAGGCAGAAGUAGGGAAUCUUCCGCAAUGGGCGAAAGCUUGACGGAGCAACGCCGCGUGAGUGAUGAAGGUCUUCGGAUCGUAAAACUCUGUUAUUAGGGAAGAACAAAUGUGUAAGUAACUAUGCACGUCUUGACGGUACCUAAACAGAAAACCACGGCUAACUACGU